GACGGGGGAUGCAAGCGUUAUCCGGAAUCACUGGGCGUAAAGCGUCUGUAGGUGGUGAUGCAAGUCACUGGUGCAAAACUCUGGCUCAACCGGAGGAAAGCCAGUGAAACUGCAUGGCUAGAGUGUGGGAGAGGGAGAAGGAAUUCCCUGAGUAGCGGUGAAAUGCGUAGAUACAGGGAAGAACACCGGAGGCGAAAGCGUUCUCCUGGACCACAACUGACACUGAGAGACGAAAGCUAGGGGAGCGAAUGGG
rnacentral:rRNA from 1 species